CAAUCAUCACCACUAUUUUAAAUAUUAAAUAGUGUACAAAAUAGUCAAACAACUUUAAAGAAUUAAACAUUAACGUGCGUGUCGACAUUACAAUUGCUUUAGAAAUAUGUAAUUUUUUAGAGCAAAGCACCAUAUACGGAAGGGUGAUCUCGAGAGUGGAAUUUGUCCUUCAAUAAACGACAAAAUGUAGGUUCAAAGUUGUUCACUAUAGUAGAAUCAAUUCAGAAUGUUCCUCCUUUAUAUUUAAUGCUGAAAUUCCAUAGUUACCUUUGAUGCUAGUCUCAACUCCAGAAUGUUGCUGAUGUGGAUGUAAGAAAGCAAAUAGACCUGUACCGUAAUUUUAGAAUUUUGAGGAAAUGGCUAUAUUGAAAUUUUAUAAGUCUGUAUAGACCAAAUCCUAAUUGUGGAAUGUUAUUUAUAACCCAAUUUUUAAAAGAGAUGAAGAUAACUUAGAGAAUGUACAGCAACGUGACUAAGAUGUUUCUUGAGGUUAGGGAUUUAUCAUAAGAGAGACUUUACAGAUACUAGAUCAGUUCUUUAAUUGUCCAUGGAAUUGAUGGGGUUUCAGCUGAUUUAUUUUUUUAAGAACUAGAGGAUGAUUCUAAAAUCAAACAUCAGUACUAUAGAACGCCACUAAGAUGUCGUGCCUUUUCAUUGGAUUAUGGGCUGUGGAAUUAUUCUUUGUCGAAUGACGAUGUUAAUUCAAAUUAAAUAAACAAGUAUAGGACUAUAUGCAAUUGGCAAUCGUUACUGAUCACCAGUCUUACAUUUGCACCAUACAUGAUUUUUUUUUCAAAACCGGGGCCUCAAAGCCUCGCUUUGCUUGAUCUCUAUAGCCUACCCAGGAGGAUCAGACGAAUCAAAGACUCUACUGGGACACAACUGUAAACAAGAAAAGUCAUUGCUAGAGGUGAAAGAAGCUAACAGCACAAUUGCGCUCAUCAAUGCCAUUGUAGAUUACUUGGAAGCUUGUACCAGUAAUUCAGUGCUGUCUGCUGUCGCCACCAUUCAAAAAUUAACAUACUCACUUCAGUCAUUCCAAAAUAAUCAAUUUACGCAGAAUCUAUGGAUGUUUACACUACUUGUUGUGCUAUUGCUGUCCGUGAUUCUAUUACUGUUUGUUUUUUACCGAGUUUAUCGACGUCACAGAAGAAAGCAGGUCCCUCGCGAGGACGAGGAAGACACAACUCCAUCAGAGCCUAAAAAUAAUCAACAACAAGCCGCAAUAAAACGAUAUCAUAAUCAGCUUUUUACAAACCAAAGAGCGGCAGGCAGUGGCAAAGCAGCUACAUCAGGCGAUGCGUCACGCACGCCGAGCACAAAAUAUACACAUAGCGAAAAACACGUGGAAGAAACACACACAGAUAGCAACCAACAGAAGAACUCACAAAAAUGCACUGUUGAUGUUCACAUGGAGAACACAAGGACCAAACAGAAGAACUCUUUGCAUUUGAAUGUGGAGA